UUGACACUGAGUGAGUCUGCGUCUGUCAGUGAGUGAGUAAAUGUGUGUAAGUGUCUUGUCAGUGCGUAUGCGUGUGUCAGUUAAUGUGUCUGUCGGUGAAUGUGAGUGUGCCUGUAUGUUUGUCAGUGAGUGGGUAUGUUUCAGUGAACGUGUAUGUUGGUUAAACAGUGUGUGUGACAAUGACUGUAUCUGUCAGUGAGUGUAUGCAUCAGUGAAGGUGUGUGACUGUUAGGCAAAGAGUGUGUUGGUUUUUAACAGGAAGUGAAAUUUAGAAGGGGG